CGAACGCUGGCGGCACGCUUAACACAUGCAAGUCGAACGGAAGGCCGGAGCUUGCUCCGGUUCUUUAGUGGCGGACGGGUGAGUAACGCGUGGGAAUCUACCCUUAAGUGGGGGACAACCGUUGGAAACGACGGCUAAUACCGCAUAGUCCCUACGGGGUAAAGGUCUUUUGACCGCUUAAGGAUGAGCCCGCGUCGGAUUAGGUUGUUGGUGGGGUAACGGCCCACCAAGCCCGCGAUCCGUAGCUGGUCUGAGAGGACGAACAGCCACACUGGGACUGAGACACGGCCCAGACUCCUACGGGAGGCAGCAGUGAGGAAUAUUGGACAAUGGGGGAAACCCUGAUCCAGCGAUGCCGCGUGAGUGAAGAAGGUCUUAGGAUUGUAAAACUCUUUCGACGGGGAAGAUGAUGACUGUACCCGUUAAAGAAGCCCCGGCUAACUCCGUGCCAGCAGCCGCGGUAAU
rnacentral:rRNA from 1 species